ensembl:lncRNA
CAGACUUCAUAUAAAUCCAUAAUGAACUUUUUCACACUAACAGUUGUUACCCAGAUGAGGAUGGGUUCCUUCUGAGUCGGGUUCCUCUCAAGGUUUCUUCCUCUUAAAACAUGUGGAAUGGCAUAUAAAUUGCCUAUAAAUGUGGGCCAUAUUUCUAUCACUGAAAUUCUUAGUCCUCAAUUGAGAGGUCACCAUGUGUUUACAGACAGCACAGUGGUGGUCUCAUAUAUUGACCACCAGGGAGGAUAAUGCGUUAUCACCAGGAAAACGAUUAUUGCGUUAUCCAUCCAUUAUGUUAUCCAUCCAUCUUCUAUACCGCUUAUCCUUUUCAGGGUCACGGGGAAACCUGGAGCCUAUCCCAGGAAGCUUGGGGCACAAUUCGGGGUACACCCUGGACAGGGUGCCAAUCCAUUGCAGGGCACACUCACACACCCAUUCAUACACUUGCCAAUCAGCCUACCAUGCAUGUCUUUGUACGGGGGGGUGGGAUCGGAGUACCCAGAGGAAACCCCCGCAGCAUGGAGAGAACAUGUAAACUCCGCACGCACAGGGCCACAACGGGAAUCGAACCCCCAACCCUGGAGGUGUGAGGCGAACGUGCUAACCACUAACCAUCCACAGUCACAUGGAAAAAAAAGGUCAGUGAUUGCCUGACUCAGUAAAUGGUCCUUCUGCCCAUUGCUGCUAGAUAUUUCGAAAUUUAUGAUGCCACCAGCUAUGCUCUUUUCUAUUUAUAGCUUGUGCAGAUGAAUUGCACAACACUACAAUUAUAGCAAGUAUGAGGUCAUUCAUCAACAUUAACAUCUGACCCACACAAAGGCUAAAUAAUAU